UACGUAGGGACCAAGCGUUGUUCGGAUUUACUGGGCGUAAAGCGUGCGCAGGCGGUUUGUUAAGACAGAUGUGAAAUCCCCGGGCUUAACCUGGGAACUGCAUUUGUGACUGGCAAGCUAGAGUAUGGCAGAGGGGGGUAGAAUUCCACGUGUAGCAGUGAAAUGCGUAGAUAUGUGGAGGAAUACCGAUGGCGAAGGCCAGCCCCUGGGAUAACACUGACGCUCAUGCGACGAAAGCGUGGGUAGCAAACAGG
rnacentral:rRNA from 1 species